rnacentral:rRNA from 1 species
AGCGAACGCUGGCGGCAGGCCUAACACAUGCAAGUCGAACGAACUCUUCGGAGUUAGUGGCGGACGGGUGAGUAACACGUGGGAACGUGCCCUUUGGUACGGAGUAACUCAGGGAAACUUGAGCUAAUACCGUAUGUGCCCUUCGGGGGAAAGAUUUAUCGCCAUUGGAGCGGCCCGCGUCUGAUUAGCUAGUUGGUGAGGUAACGGCUCACCAAGGCGACGAUCAGUAGCUGGUCUGAGAGGAUGACCAGCCACAUUGGGACUGAGACACGGCCCAAACUCCUACGGGAGGCAGCAGCGGGGAAUCUUGCGCAAUGGGCGAAAGCCUGACGCAGCCAUGCCGCGUGGAUGAUGAAGGUCUUAGGAUUGUAAAAUCCUUUCACCGGUGAAGAUAAUGACUGUAGCCGGAGAAGAAGCCCCGGCUAACUUCGUGCCAGCCGCCGCAGUAACAC